rnacentral:lncRNA from 1 species
GUCAGAAUUGAAAUCAUCUUGACUCAUUUUAUUUAUUUUCUCCUCUUCACUUUUAUAAAUUACUUAUAUUAAAAUUAGUGAUGAUAUGUGCACAUGAACGUAAAUAUCUUGGGUAUCUGGUAUAAGUUGCCCCACACCUCAUACUUUCUCUUUCUAUCUCGAAAUUGAAGAAAGAGACAGAGGAUAGUUGAAAUGCAACUCUCGCAACAUUUUAAUAGAAAUAAAUUUGGUACGGGAAGUGAAAAGUAUAAUUGGUUAGGAUCGAUAAAAUCAUCGCAAAAUUAAUCGAUAAAAAUCAAUAAGGACCGUGAUUAUUUAUCAAUAAAUAAUUCAAUUAUGAUUUGAAUUCACUCCUAUCCGAGUUCAUCGAUGUUCAAGAAGAAAAACGCCAGUACAAAUUUGCACACUACGACUCCGUGCAAGUAUUCCUGAAAUUAAUUCUAUUCUCAUGAUCAUGGUAGAUAUAAGAAAAAGUCGUAAUGCCUUACAUAAUUAGAUAUAAUCUCCACCGGCCUCCUCUCUCAGUCAACGGAUAGACUUCGAGAGAACUUACCCCCUCCUCCGAAUACUCCAUAAGAGCCAAGUUCACAACUUCUUCAACACAUUGAGACCUUCCAUCUAUUCUUGUGACCCUUCGAAGUGCUAAUUAACCGAUAAACUCGGAAAAGUCGAGAUCCUCCCGCUUCACUUCGCGGCUUCUCUUACUCAGCCUUAUGAUAUUCUUCCCUUCUCUUCGAUUGAACCAUUGUCAUUGGAUAUAUAAUUGUUGUAUUUUUCAUAAAAAUAAAUAGUUUUUUUGAAAUAAA